rnacentral:ncRNA from 1 species
UAUAUUUGCACCCGUCUAAAGUAGACAUACAUAAGAAUCAUUAAAUAAUAUUGGAAUG